GAGAGGUGGUGCAUGGCCGUCGUCAGUUCGUACUGUAAAGCGUUCUGUUAAGUCAGAUAACGAACGAGACCCUCAUCUCUAUUUGCUACCCGUCUCUCCGGAGGCGGCGCACUAUAGGGAGACCGCUGGUGUUAAACCAGAGGAAGGCGAGGGCAACGACAGGUCAGUAUGCCCCGAAUGUCCUGGGCUACACGCGCGCUACAAAGGACGGGACAAUGGGAAGCCAGGCCGAGAGGCCGAGCUAACCCGAAACCCGUUCAUAGUUCGGAUCGAGGGCUGUAACUCGCCCUCGUGAAGCUGGAUUCCGUAGUAAUCGUGUUUCAAUAUAGCACGGUGAAUAUGCCCCUGCUCCUUGCACACACCGCCCG
rnacentral:rRNA from 1 species